CCCGCACAAGCGGUGGAGCAUGUGGUUAAUUCGACGCAACGCGAAGAACUUACCAGGGCUUGACAUCCCCUGACCGCGUAUGAAAGUACGUUUUCACCCUCGGGUGACAGGGAGACAGGUGGUGCAUGGUUGUCGUCAGCUCGUGUCGUGAGAUGUUGGGUUAAGUCCCGCAACGAGCGCAACCCCUACGUUUAGUUGCUAACGCGUGAAGGCGAGCACUCUAGACGAACUGCCGUUGACAAAACGGAGGAAGGUGGGGAUGACGUCAAAUCAUCAUGCCCCUUAUGUUCUGGGCUACACACGUGCUACAAUGGCCGGUACAGACGGACGCAAAGCCGCGAGGUGGAGCAAAUCCUAAAAAGCCGGUCUCAGUUCGGAUUGCAGGCUGCAAUUCGCCUGCAUGAAGUCGGAAUCGCUAGUAAUCGCAGGUCAGCAUACUGCGGUGAAUACGUUCCCGGGCCUU
rnacentral:rRNA from 1 species